GUCCAUAGCAGUCUGUUGUGGGUCCAUAGCAGUCUGUUGUGGGUCUAUAGCAGUCUGUUGUGGGUCUAUAGCAGUCUGUUGUGGGUCCAUAGUGAUGUGAGCACAGAGAGACGGCAUGACUCUGUUAUGUGGCCUCCUUAGUUACAACCUGAUAGAUUUUCAUAGAGGGACCAGUUAUUCACUACUCAGGAGCUAUAAGGCAGGUCACACACACACACACACACACACACACACACACACACACACACACACACACACACACACACACACACACACACACACACACACACACACACACACACACACACACACACACACACACACACACACACACACA